ensembl:lncRNA
GUGUCUGAGUGCAGACGACAUUAGUGGUUGAGCUACAGCUGGAAUGCGGGCUUCCCGUCUCCUUCCCUGAUGUGUUUAUACUAGACUAUAGGAUGGUCUUUGGGGCUCCAACUCUAAGAGCUGCAGAUUGCUGGGAUUUUGAGACAUUUCAGCUCGGGUGUGCUACAGCAUUUAGAGGAUUGUAUGAGUUUGAGUAAGCUACAGGAGUUGGUGAUGGACAGGGAAGCCUGGCAUGUUGCAGUCCAUGGGGUCGAAAAGAGUCGGAUGCGAUUGAGUGGCUGAACUGAUGAUCGGGCACUAACCAGCUACCAGGUGUCAUCUUUGAGCAGCAUUUCCUGGAAAGCCAAGACUAAGGGAUGCGUGUGAAGAUCAAGUUCCCAGGACCAGAUGGGACCUGGGAAGCACUGCAAACCUUCUCCCCCUCCCCUUCUAGAAACUCCCAGUUCACAUCAGCAUAAUAAAGGUCUAGCC